AGAGUUUGAUCAUGGCUCAGGAUGAACGCUAGCGGCAGGCCUAAUACAUGCAAGCUGAACGGUAAAUAUUGUAGCAAUACGAUAUGAGAGUAGCGUAAGGGUGCGUAACACGUAUGCAAUCUGCCCUGUACAGGAGAAUAGCUCGGCGAAAGCCGGAUUAAUACUCCGUAAUAUUAUUGAAAGGCAUCUUUUGAUAAUUAAAGUCGCAAGACGGUAUGGGAUGAGCAUGCGUCUGAUUAGCUAGUUGGUAGUGUAACGGACUACCAAGGCGAUGAUCAGUAGGGGAACUGAGAGGUUGAUCCCCCACACUGGCACUGAGAUACGGGCCAGACUCCUACGGGAGGCAGCAGUAGGGAAUAUUGGUCAAUGGAUGCAAGUCUGAACCAGCCAUGGCCGCGUGCAGGAAGAAGGCCUUCUGGGUUGUAAACUGCUUUUGCCGGGGGAUAAAAUUCCCACGCGUGGGGACAUUGAAGGUACCCGGUGAAUAAGCCACGGCUAACUACGUGCCAGCAGCCGCGGUAAUACGUAGGUGGCAAGCGUUGUCCGGAUCUAUUGGGUUUAAAGGGUGCGUAGACGGCCUAUUAAGUCAGUUCUGAAAUAUCCCGGCUUAACCGGGAGGGUGGGAUUGAUACUGAUGGGCUUGAGUGGACUCGAGGUAGGCGGAAUUGACGGUGUAGCGGUGAAAUGCUUAGAUAUCGUCAAGAACACCGAUAGUGUAGACAGCUUACUAGAUUUCAACUGACGCU
rnacentral:rRNA from 1 species